CCUUACCAGUUGUGGCCAAAUCCUUCUGAGCCACAAGUUCCUUAUUCUCUCUCCUCUCUCCUCUCUCAUCUUUCCUCUUUUGCGAUUGCAAUGCAAUCUUCUUCCCUAUAUGAAACCCUAAUUUCUUAUGAAAUCUUCAGCCAUUAAUUAUUAUUAGCGGAGAAAUCAUGCAGUUUCAUCACCAGCAAACAUCAUUUAUGAUACCAGCGCUUUUCGUCGUCGAGCUUCAAAGCACAGUUAAGUUCAAUCACGGAGGUAUGAAUUUUUGAUUUUUUUUUUCUUUCAGAUUUUCGUUCUUUUACCUUUUCAAAGACUUUGCUCUAAUUCGAAUUGAAAGAACGGACCAAAAUCUAAGAAUCGAUUUGUUAUCUACCUUCUUCACGUUUUGGUUUGUUUUAGGUUUGCCUAUUCUCCUCAAGUUCUUAUUUUUACACCUGUAAUUUGUUGAAUGGGUCACAAUUUUGUGUGUGUUUUGCAAUUAUUUUGUGUUUACUUCUUGAUUGAUUUUGGGUUCCUCAUAUUUAUGAAUUUGAUUGAAGUGCAAAUUACUUCAAGUUCUUCUUUUUAAGUCGUCUGAACUUAUUUUUUGUUUUGCUUACUUGAUUUUCACUUCAUUCAUGAAACCGAUCGUACGAUGCUUAUUUGAUUUUGGGUUCCUCAAAUUUUCACUUUAUUAUUUGUUUUGCUUAUUUAUGAAACCGAUCGUAAUGGCUGGAAUCCGAAGUCUACUGCAUCGCCGGUGUUGUCGUCAUCCUCCACUACCGCUUCGGAACAGCAGCACCAACAGCAGCAUUUCAACAACAACAACAACAUUAGAGACAGGUCUGAUAUAGUUGAACAGAGUGGAGAAGUUUCAAGAUCAAUUGCUGGCCCAAGUUCUUUCAGGGAACACUAUGCUCAUUCUGAACUGCACGGGAGAGAAACCCAUUGCCUUGUGUACACGCAAGUAAUCCAAUAUACCUUCAAAAGCAAGUCAUUUCCAUGUAGCAUUGAUUUUUCAAAGCACCGGAAAUAGAAGGCUACUCCAUCAGGAAGCUUCAUAAAAAGUUUCUUUGUUGCACAAAGUGAUGAACAAAAGGCGCAAACAAAUGGCGUAAUCUAGCAGUUCGAACAUAACCUAACUCAUAAACAAAACCACCUCCUUCCACUUUCUCUAUAAUCCUCAUUAGUGCAAUGCUCUAGAAAUAUACGGUUGCAGCAAAACAAUUUCAUUUCAGGGCCUCCAGCGAUAAAAUUCUUGUGGAUUUCUCUCUCUGAGGUAACUCUCCAGUUUGUGAUUCUGUCCCUCCUCCAAGCCCUCGAGAGGUCUUCCCUUUUCUUUUCGCCUCUUUUUUUGGACCAACAAUGUUCCUGGCUAACUUAAUGCUGCUUGACGCAUCGUCACUUCAAUUGAGCAGGAAGAAGACGGCCACAAGAGUAUUUGUGUAUAUAGAAGUCUUGAACAUCUUUUUCUUUGGGUGGGUCCAUGUAUUGGAUUUUAUGGUUUGUAGCUAAACAAGUAGAAGUCUAUCUGCUACUUGUAAGCAUGCAAGUAUCUCGAUAUGUUUGCUUCUUAUUGGACAAUGAUUUCGUUCUUAAUUUUUUUCAUUUUAGAUGAUAUAAUGUACUUUGGUUAAGCAUAGUUUGUUAUACUUCAUCUUUAGAUGUCUGAAUAUGUAACUUAUUAAGACAUAUAUAUAUGAAAUUCGAGAAGCAAGCUUUUCGUUUUCUA